rnacentral:misc_RNA from 1 species
GAUGAAGAACGCAGCGAAAUGCGAUACUUGGUGUGAAUUGCAGAAUCCCGUGAACCAUCGAGUCUUUGAACGCGAGUUGCGCCGGAAGCCAAUAGGCCGAGGGCACGCCUGCCUGGGCGUCACACGUCGUUGCCCCCCCAUCUACUCCUUCGGGAUUGCGGGGGGCGGAUGAUGGCCUCCCGUGCGCCUCGCCGCGCGGUUGGCAUAAAUGCCAAGUCCUCGGCGACGCACGCCACGACAAUCGGUGGUUGCGAAACCUCGGUUGCCCGUCGUGUGCGGUCGUCGGGCAUCGAGGGCUCGAAAAAAUUGCCGGGUUCCGGCUCGGCUUUCAACGCGACCCCAGGUCAGGCGGGGUUACCCGCUGAAUUUAAGCAUAUCAAUAAGCGGAGGA